rnacentral:lncRNA from 1 species
GAUAUUAAAACUGAAGAAACAUUAAACGAUUUAAAAAAAAACAUAAAAAAAAAUGAACAUAAUGGUUUAAUUGAAGGUAUAAACUAUAAAACUAAAAAAUUAAUUUUUUUAAAAAAGAGUAAGAAUAUUAUUAAACCUAUAAUGAUUGAUUAUAAAACAAAUAUUGAACCAUUAAAAAAAGAAAAUAAAUUAUUAAACGAUGAAAUAUAUGUAUUAAGUGAAGAACUAAAAAAUGUACAAAAAGAGUUAGACUUAUAUUCGUUAAAAAUAAAAAAUUAUAAUAAGAAUUAUAAAUUUUUAAAAUAUAUACAAAAAAUAGGAAAAGAAUUGUUACACAAACAAAAAAAUAUAAUUUCUGAAAGGGAAAAAUAUUGUUUGUAUACUAAAAAGUUAAAAGAGUCCUUGUAUUGGUUUAGUAAUACAAAAACGGAUAGUAUGAGUGGAGGUGAUCGUGCUAUGGAGUUUUAUUCAUUAAUGGAAUUCUUAGAGCAGUGGAUAAAGAUAGAAUAUGCUGAUCAAUCAGAUUGGGAUAGCGACGAUUCCAACUUGACUAAUUUAAAAGAACUUAAAGAAUCAAUUUAUAAUUUUAUUAUGACAUUUGAUUAUAAACAAAAAAUAAAACUUAUGUUGGCUGAAAUAAAUAAUUAUGUUAAUAAUGAUUUUGUUUUUAUUUGGCAAAAUUUUUUCAGUUUCAGCGGCGAUAUUAGUGGCGUAAGUAGUGACACAAACAAUUGCGACAUAAGUGAAGACGACAUAAGUGAUGAUGGCAUAAGUGAAGACGACAUAAGUGAAGACGACAUAAGUGAAGACGACAUAAGUGAAGACGACAUAAGUGAUGAUGGCAUAAGUGAUGAUGGCAUAAGUGACGACGACACAAGCGACAAUGUGAACGAGUCCAAACUGAAUAAAACAAACGGUCAUAUUCAAGACGAAGGUUUUUCGAAAAAUAACACGAUUGCUGAAAAAAAAAUAAAAAAAUGCUUAAAAUGGAUGAAAAUAAAAAACUUAAAAAUAAAGAGUACAGUAACAAGAAGAUUCCGCUAAACUCGCUAAACUCGCUAAAUUCGCUAAAUUCGCUAAAUUCGCUACAUAUGAACAUAGGCACGGAAAUCCAUUUUAAUAAAAUAGUUAGUGCGACUGUCA